AUACGGAGGGUCCGAGCGUUAAUCGGAAUUACUGGGCGUAAAGCGCUCGUAGGCGGCCUGUUAAGUCGGAUGUGAAAGCCCCGGGCUCAACCUGGGAACUGCAUUCGAAACUGGCAGGCUAGAGUAUAGUAGAGGCAAGUGGAAUUCCGGGUGUAGCGGUGAAAUGCGUAGAUAUCCGGAGGAACAUCAGUGGCGAAGGCGACUUGCUGGACUAAUACUGACGCUGUGGAGCGAAAGCGUGGGGAGCAAACGGGAUUAGAAACCCCAGUAGUCC
rnacentral:rRNA from 1 species